GUUUGGUCGUUGAAGGGUUCGGACGUGUUUUUCGAAGCUCUCGACGUCGUGACCUAAUUAUAAUUUGAACUGCGCGGGUAAAGAACGCUCAUUUGCGGCUUGGACAUUGACCAAUACGGACGUGUUUUUAAAGCGCUCUGAAAAAAGUUUUGACUUUUAAAUUUUUUUUACUACGACAGAAUCUUAGUUGACUGAUGGUCUUUGACAAAGACAGACUUGUUUUUGUGAGCUCUGAAAAAAAUUUGACUUUGAAAUAUUUUUACGAUUAAAAAGUUUCAGUUGACUUUUGAACGUUGACGAAGACGGACGUACUUUCGUGAGCUCUGACUAUUGAUGAAAAGUUUUCGCGUUAUAGAAUAGCGACUUGGUACUCAGGUUGUUGAAUGACUGGAUGACUGAAGUGUUAGGUUAUUGUUAUGAGAUAACAACUUGACUUUGACUUGAGUUGUGAAAUGAAAUCAUACUCUUAUGCGAUGUUAACUUUUGAACGUUUAGUAUUGACUGACAACGAAAUUUUGUGAGCGUUAUAUAUGAAAUGUUUGACUUACAUUAAUUUUUUUGAACGACUUGACUUCACUUUAAGUUUUGACAUCGGACUGAUCGGACGUGUUUUUUUAAGCUCUGACUGUUGUGAAUAAUUAAAUUUAUGUUGUGGUGUCAAGCGAUUGACUGUCAGUUGAGGUUCAGAUGUCGAGCUGUGCGGACGUGUUCAUCGAGCUGCUGUCUACAAAAAACUGGGCUGUGGUGAGUAUUGCAGAUUUAACUUGUAUGUGUGGUUUUUAGUUAACGAUGCUUAAUGAAAACUGUUAUUGUACACUUAGUAUGGAAUGAUGUGAAUGAUGAUAUGAUGGGUAGAAUUAAUCAGUGCUUGUGUCUAGAAAUGCUGAAUGUUUAUUGAAAAGGCUAAAUGCUAGCCAGUACUAAGAGUUGAGCUACCGUGGGAAUGUGAAACGAACUGAUGGUGUAAUAUGAUGGUGUAUUGACAAACUUUUCUUAUAUGUACUAAAUAUGAUAUUGCUUUACUUGUAUUUGCAUGCUGUUAACAUUUCUAUUUUGUUCCAGUGUGCUGUGGUGAGUACUGUAGAUAUUACUUGAUUUUUAGUGUCUAUGAAUGCUGAUGUAUGAUAGCUAUAGCAUGAGCUCAAUGCUAACCAGUAUUAUGAGUUGAUGUAUUGUGGUGAUGCUAAUCGAACUGAUGAUGUAACAUGAUGGUGAACACUUACUGAAUGCAUAAAAUUUAUUGAAUUGCGUUUGUUGAUAUGCACUAUAAUAUGAUAAAUGUAUUGCUUAACAUGUAUAUUUCAUGAUGUUUAAUUUCAGUGGGCUGUGGUGAGUACUGUAGAUUGUAUUGCCUAUGUAUAGAAUUCAAUAAAAGAUUAUGACUGAAAACUGCUUUUGAUUCUUUUUGAACAGUUUUAGGGACUAUAAGUCUAUAACAAAAAUAUGUCGGUUGGCGUUCAUACAGCAAUGUUUUGAGUAGUACAGAAAUGUUUCUACGUUUGUGGUCGCCAGUUGUCUGUGAUGUGUAAAGUGAAAAAUACACGGAGCUUUGAAUACAACAAACAUUUACUGUUUUAACACAGAUUGUGUGCUAUGCAUUUUUCGAUGUAGAUCUUUUUCAGAUUUGACAUGAAAUGUAGACCUGACAUUUGAACAGAGCUGGGAAACGAAAAGGUAAGUUUGUUAAAUUUCACAAUGAACACUUGUGUUUUGACAAAAGAAGAGAUAAAGUGAGUUUUGUCAUCAUCAUGGUUUCUUUCAGAGUAUAACUCGUGAACAGAUGAAAACCUAUUUUUUGCUAGAUUUUCAUGUACUCUUUUUUUGGAUGAUAAGUAUGUCAGUAACUCAAAAUCAUACGGCUAGUACAGUAUGGAACAUGAAUGCUUUGUUCAGAUUUUCAGAUGUGUGCUGGCAGUUUAAGUCUGGCAGCUGAAGUGAACAGUCGUGUUUUCUGGAGCUCCAACAAUAUGCUAGAAGGAGUGCUUAUCCAGUGAUGAUAUGACAGUUGGAGUGAACAGUGGAGCCAAGCAGUCUUGUUUUUGGAGCUACUCAACAAGCCUUGAAGAUGCUGAUGGCAGUGAUGGGUUUUCAAGCUGACCUGAACAGAAAAGCACUCAUAUGGUAAGUACAAAAUAGUUGUUAUAUGGGAUGUUUUGUGCAUGCUUUUAUGUUUCAGGUGUACUUGCUGACAGCGACGAAGACGAAUCAAGAAGAGGAACAUUGUUGAGAAAGUGAUUGGGACUUGCAAACAGGGUAAGUGUAACACUUGUGUUUGUUUAAUUUGUAACAUGCGUGCUUUGCUCUGUUUCAGAUUUCACAUGCAGAAAUUAAACAGGAUUUCAACUGCUGAGACACAAUUCAUCAAAAGUAAGGUAAGUUUUAAUUCAUUGAUUUGAGUUGUACAAUGUGUUCUUUACUUUAUUUCAGAUUCGAGUCACUGGUUUACACAUGGAAGAAGAUUUCCACGUCUGUUACUCAACUCUACAGAAGCAAGGUAAGUCGAUCAAAUUUUUGUUUUCAUUGACUGCUGUAAUGUGAUGUUAUGCUAUUUUUUAUGUGUGCUAUGCAGAGAUGGAGAAUUCAAUUUUAAGAAAGAUUAACUGCUGCAGAUUAGCUCUGCUCUGUGUUGAUUUUUGUUCAAAAACGUUUAAAAUGUAUGUGUGUUUUCAGAUGUUUUGUUUCAGUUGAUGUCCAGAUGGCAAGCAGUACAGACGUGUUUCUUGGAGCUGCCAAACAGUGAGUACAAACGUUUUAUAUUUUUCAGUUGUUUACUCAUAGAAGUCUGUGAAAGAUGAUAACAAGGGUUGAAUCUAUCAGCACUUGUGUCUAAAAAUGCUGAUGUGUGACGGUUUACUGAAAAGGGUAAAUGCUAGCCAGUACUUACACUUGAGCAACCGUGGGAUGUCGAACUAACUGAUGAUGUACUAUGAUGGUGAACACUUACUAUGUGUAUCAAAAUGCUUUUGUUGAUAUUUACUAUAGAUGAUUUGAUAUUGGUUAACAUUUGUUUGCAUGCUGUUAACAUUUCUAUUUCAUUUCAGGGAGCUGUGGUGAGUAUUGUAGUAUACAUUUGUUUCAAUAAACCAUGAUUAAUGAAAACUGAUUUCGAUUCUUUUUUACAGUUUUAGGGAUUAUCACUCUAUAACAACUCUGUCGGUUGGUGUUCGUGAAUGUGAGCUUAAUGUUUGAGUAGUACAAAAAUGUCUUUACUUUUGUGAUCGCCAGUUGUCUGUGAUUUAAAGUGAAAAAUACACAGAGCUAUGAAGCAUACACUUGUUUCAAUAUUUUAUCAAUGAUUCAUCAAUGAUAGUGUGCUAUGCAUGUUUUGAUUUAGUUCGUUUCAGGUAUGACAUGACAUGAAGAGUUGACAGUCGAACAGAGCUGAGCAACGCAGAAAGGUAAGUGUGUUUCAUUUUAGUAUGAACACUUGUAUUUUGUUUUUAUAUGGUAUGUUUUGUGCAUGCUAUGUUUCAGGUGUACUUGUAGUCAGCGACGAAGACGAUUCAAGAAGAGGAACAUUGCUGAGAAAGUGAAUGGGACAUGCAAACAGGGUAAGUGUUACAAUUGUUGGUUUGAUUUUUACCAUGCAUACUUUGCUUUACUCUGUUUCAGAUUUCACAUGCAGAAAUGGUCUCAUAGCAGUGCCAACAGUGAAUAAGGAUUUCAUCUGCUGUGAAACAACUCAACAGAAAGUAGGUAAGCAUUGAAUGAAUGCACUUGAGCUGUACAAUUUGAUGUGAUGCUUUUCUCUGUUUCAGAUUCAAGUUCCUGGUGUAGACAGAGAAAUGUGUUUGAAGAAGGAAUUCUACUACUGUGAUUCAACUCUACAGAAGCAAGGUAAGUAGAAACAAAAUUUUGGUUUAAUUUAACUCAUGUGUUUUGCACUGCAUGCUAUUUUUCAGGUCUCUCAUGCAGUGAGGGAAAAGAAGAAGAUUUCAAGAAAAAAUCACUGCUGCAACUCAGGCCGAUAACAAGGUAAGCGUUUACUAUAUUGUAUACAAAAUGUUUUUCUGUUUUACUCUGUUUCAGGUUUCAAUUGCAGAGAUGUUGCAGAGAUGAUUUGACAGCUUGUGGCAGAAAAGAAAUUCAGCAUCUGUUUCUCGACUCUAGCCACGAGGUAAGUCAAAACAAAUAUACUGGUUUGUAUGUAAUGUUGUUAUGCCCUUCUAUGUUUCAGACUUACAUUGCUGUGACUGUUCCACAGUGGGUCAAAAAAGAGACGAAUACAGGUUUCAAGAAGAAAAUUGGCUGUUAAAAACCUGCACAAAAUAUGAGGUAAGUAAACUACUCUUUUGGUUUGUUUUGUGCUUUGUUAUGCUUAACUAUUUUUCAGAUUGGAAUGGUGGGUCGUUACAGAGCAGACUUUUGGACUACUGAGAAGUUGAGAAACAGAGAAUGAUUCAAGAUCAGCUAGGUAAGUCUUGAUUAUUAUGCAUUGCUAAAUGUUUUUUUCAUUCCAGUAUGGCUGUGGUAAGUACACAAACUUUCUAUAAUUUAAUAUUGAACUGUUUUUAUGACCUGUAUUCUGCAUUGUAAAAUGUCUGUUUUUCAUUUCAGUAUCCUGUGGUAAGUACACUAACUUUGUAUAAUUUCAUAUUGAAAUGUUUUGAUGACUUGUAUCCUGCUAUGCAAUGCUUAAUAUAUUUUUCAUUUCAGUGUGGCUGUGGUAAGUACAAUUGCCUUCUUUAAUUUUCAUAUUGAACUGUUUUGAUGAUUUGUAUACUGCUAUGCAAUGCUUAUUGUUUUUUACAUUUCAGUGUGGCUGUGGUAAGUACAAUUGCCUUUCAUAUUGAACUGUUUUGAUGACCUGUAUUUUGCAUUGUAAAAUGUGUUUCUUUUUCAUUUCAGUAUGGCUGUGGUAAGUACACAAACUUUCUUUAAUUUUCAUAUUGAACUGUUUUGAUGACUUGUAUUCUGCUAUACAAAAUGUGCUUUUUUCAAUUUCAGGUCAGCAAUGGUAAGUAUAGUGUGUUUUUUUAUGUAUAAUUUUGUAUACAUAUUGUUUUUUUUCAUCAUAGCAUGUAUUUUAUAUUUAUGCUUUGUGUAAGUAAAAUGUUCAUAAAUCAUUCUUAUCUUCAAACUAAAAAUGUAUUGUGCUAUGCAAAAUGUCUGUAUGAUUUCAGUUGCCAGAGGUGAGUACCAUUACAGUUGAAAAGUUAGUUUUGUUUAGUUAAAGUUUUGGUUCACAGUUCUGUUUGUUAUUUGGCAAAAUUUACAUGUAUGCAUUGAGUCUUGAUUUCAGCUCGAUUGUGGACUGAAGAAGAUUGCCCGCAGAGGGAUUGGAUACAAAAUACAAAGUAAGUACUGAGUUUCUUACUAAAAGUUUUGAGUUGUAUUCAUUGUAUGUUAAUAUGCUAUGAUUGCUAUGAACAUGACUUUUGUAUUUCAGCGAAGACAACAUAGGUAAGUAAAAUUGUUAUCUGUUUCAUGUUUACUGUUACAGUUCAAUAUUGUGUUUAUAAAUUGUAAGUUGUACAAACACAUUCAAAAGUUUCUAAUCAUGCUUUCGAUUUCAUUUCAGCUUUACUGCUAGACGAGUGUUCUCUACUACUUGACGAGUCAGCUUUACUACCAGGCGAGCAGUGACAACAAGGCGCCUUUGUGGAAACAACACAACAAAAAACUGUACUGCUAGACGAGCAGUGACAGAAAGGCGCCUGAACAUGCAACACAAAACAAAAAAUGCCAAUAUACAAACCUUGAUGUGAACACCGAGUAGUCAAUGCAUACGUGUGGCGUACAGCUGCGACAAAACCGUGGGUCCAUCGCACCGAUAACUCGAACAUUGGACCGCGUAUGGACAUCAGUGCAACUUUGUGAAUCCAUGUAACUUUGUGAAUCCAUGUAACAUUGCGAAUAUGUGUCGAUCGAAAAAUGUGUACAUUCUGCACUGAAACGAACUCGGUGUUGCAAGUGGCAAGUGUUGACAGUGUGUAUGUUUAUGUUUAUGUUUUUACAUGAAAACUAAAGGAGAUUGUUCUCCUACCUUUUUUUUCCUUGUUUUAUUGCGCUGGCCAGCAAUAUUGAUGUAUGUGUUUGUGUUUAAACUAUGCAAUACCAAAAUCAAACAAAAAUAAACAUUAACAGUCAUUAACUGUG